AAUACGAUGACAUUGAUAUAUAGUUUAUGUAUAUUAAAAAAAAAAAUUGAACUUUCCUGUUUUGGUAGUUAAGUUUCAAAGAAAAGUGUUGCGCAACUUUAUGUUGUUACAUUCAAUUUAUUCGCUUGACUUAUCAAUCUACGCUUAUUGUAAACGGGUGCGCAUCAUGUGGAAAUUACUUAAACUGAUUAUUGUGGUUACUGCCGUUAACGGAGUACCUAUUAAUCAGCUUUGUGGAAAGAACGAAGAGUUUAGACACCAAAGCUGCGAGCCGACUUGUAACAGGGUUCAUGAUCAACCUUGCUCUGUUGUGGAGAAAUAUGACGGUUGCUUUUGUAAAACAGAUUUUAUAAGAGAUGAAAAAAAUAAAUGUAUUCCGGUUGGCGAAUGCAGUAAAAGUAUGUAUUUGAAUGUGAAAUGUGCAAUAUGCCAAAUGAAGAAUUAAAUUUAAAUGGAGAUUUAAGAUUUUGCAAUGGAUCCGGAACUUAUUAUACUACAAAAUUUAAAUUCGAUGUAAUAAAAAUAUGUUUCUGUAAGGACGGAUACGCUAAGAAACAUGAUGCGUGUGUCCCUAUUAAAGAAUGCACGUAAGUCUAUAAAAAGAUCCAACAUUAUAGAGGCGUUGAACUGUAUAUAAACGAGUAUUCCAUACGUCAUUUCUGCAUAUUUAUCUAACAUGCUUCAAGCAAUUGUACAUAGUUUUCAAACGUGGAGUUUUACUAGUGCUUUUAUCUAACCGGAUUCAACAGAUAAUUAUCCAAAAGAUCCAUCUUGUAUAAAUCAUAUUUCAUUGAAAGGUGCAAAAGCCAAAGAAGAAGGAACAAGUUGGCAUUAUAUUAUUAUUAUUAUUAUUAUGACCGGAAUGUUAUUUAUUGUAUCAUGAGUUUGCUUUACAUGUUUAUGAUCGUUUUAUGUAAUGAAUAUGUACUCAGGAAUAUUUAUAAAUAUAAAAUUAAUUUCUUAGAUAUUGUA
rnacentral:misc_RNA from 1 species